CUCAUACCUAAUUACUGCUGCUACAUACUACUCCUUGUUCAUCUUCUUGCCUAAGUUCAUACUUCGGCACCCACGAAGUUAAAACAAAAGAAAAAAAAACUCCUUGUUCAUCAUCUUCUUCAAUUCAUCAUUCUUUUUACUCGAUUCAACACCCUAAAUUCAUAAAUUUUGUUCAACUUUCAUCACAAUUCAACCUUCCUUCAUCUACCUUUGAAAUUACUUGAGUUUGUGGGUGAUUCAAAGAGGAAAAAUUUGGCUUUUCUAUUGAAUAUUUUGGGGCGAAAAUCGAAUCAAAAGGGCAAUUUUUCGGGUCUUUCUUGAGUAACUUUAUCUCCCUAUUAAAUUUGAAGAGGAAAUUUCUUUCCUUGCUCGAAUUUGAAGCAAAAAAGGGCCAAAGCACUGAUCCGCUCUUUACAACUUGGAAUUCCAUGCUUGCUGUCAGUUUGCAGGUUUGGGCUGCAAAUUCCCCCCUCUAUUUUCAUGCCUUUAACUUAUCUUACAUUCAUUGCAUAAGUCGAUUAGUAAUGGUUUUAUUCGGUAGACCUUUUAUGUGAGGUUUGAUGCUCUCUUAUAUGUCUUAGUGCAUCGUGUUAGUUUCUCUAAUUGAUUGAUGAUCUUGAAAAUAAAUUCUUGAUUCUUGCAGUUAUGCUUCCUCUUGUUUAUCUAUUGAUUAUUAGAACUUAAUUAUGAAAACCAACUGAACUAAACCUCCUUUUUCCCACUUAACCAUGUUAUCCGAUUAUGCACUCUUCUUGUAUUUUAAAUCCUCUUUCCUGGGUUUCUAACCAAGAGUUUUAAAUAGAGUUGAAAUUAAUGAUCUUUGUCAUGUUUUGCUUAAGAUUAUAUGCAACCGGCAUAUAGUCUAUGAGUUCUAACCUACUAUUAACUCCUGAAAACAAAAUUAUCUUCACAGUUCACAUGGUGUAUGUAUUUCUUAAGAAGUUCACGGUCUUCAACUUCAUAUAAUGAGUGGUUAUAAUUAAUUAUUAGUUCCUCUGUGUUCUUUUCCCCUUUUCUUGUGAGAUUAGGUGGGUAUAAGUUGAGGUUGAAGAGAAUAUUAUUUUGAUAAGAUCUCUCAAACUCAACAGAAGUCAAACUCUGCAUGGCUUAAAUAAUCAUCCGACUCUCCCUUUUGUAGUAUUAUGCAUCACAGCAUACUAUUAUUACUAAAGCAAAAGACAUUAUAGCAGACUUUCCUCCUUAAACACCUUCCUAAACACAUCAAGUAUUACUAAAUGACUGCUAGGAAAACAUAGACAGGGAUUAUAUAUGUUAUUUCUGAAUUUUAAUGUUGGAUCUUUCUGGUUUGUAUGUACUCAGGAUUGCUUGCUCCUAGAAGAAGGUCUUACAGGAGGACGUCUAACUGGAGGAGGAACAAGGGGGUUGGGGUCAUGAUCUUUGACCAGGAAGACAUAUAUAAGGACAAUGAGGUGGUUUUCAUGUGCUUGCGGAAUCCAACUAUUCAAACAAUUGAAGAAUAAUAUGAGGAAGAAAAUAGCAUGACACUAACAAAGACUGAGGCAAUUGAAAAAUGGAAUGACACUAUUCAAACUAUUAGAUAUCUUUUUUUUCUCUCUUGUAGUGUCCAAUUUCUUUUUACUGUAACAAUUGUGAACAACCAACGAGACAUGUUAGUUGAUUAAGGUGUUUAUAUAAAUGACAAUUAUUUUUUAUCUA